rnacentral:rRNA from 1 species
UACGUAGGGUGCGAGCGUUAAUCGGAAUUACUGGGCGUAAAGCGUGCGCAGGCGGUUUUGUAAGCCGGAUGUGAAAUCCCCAGGCUUAACCUGGGAACUGCGUGUGAUACUGGAUGGCUUGAAUUCGGGAGAGGGAUGCAGAAUUCCAGGUGUAGCGGUGAAAUGCGUAGAUAUCUGGAGGAAUACCGGUGGCGAAGGCGGCAUCCUGGACCGACAUUGACGCUGAACGGCGAAAGCUAGGGGAGCAAACGGG